UGAAUGUUUGGGUUAGAGUUCAUUGGCUAAAACACUUGAUUAAUUAUAUUAGAGUAAUUCAUCUUAUGCUAUAAAACAGCUAGCUAACUAGCGUUCUUAUGGAGCUUAAUUAAGCAUGCGAUGGCAACUGGAGUGUUCUCUAAAAAUUGUGAACGUAGAAGCAAAACGUGGUCGGGGAGAUGUUCAAUAUUUGUGUUGAAGGGCUAUGAUUUGCAGUGCAAGAAUUGGGAGUCUGCAUUUUGCCUGAAUAUAUACAUUGGAGUUCUCAUUAUGGAGCACUUGUUAGUCUUAUUCACAUGUUUUCUUAUGUCAUUGAUCUGAUUGGAGGUAUUGUGGAAGAUAUAUGUUUAAUUUAUAUAUGUUUUGAGUAAAGAGAAGUUAAUAUGAGUUAUCUCAUGCAAAUGUACUAAUUAAUUUGUUCCAUAAUGUUGAUUUUUCUUUCAAUUAACACUUGAAGAAGAGUGUUUUGGGGCUUACAUAUGAGUUAUAUCAAGCAUUACAAUGAAAAGAUUAAGAUAAAGUUUGUCCAACUUUCAAAGUA